CAGAGACUCCCAUGUGGUCCUCACUCCCCAUGUGCAAGCCAGACAGUCUUCCCCUCUUGCUAAAAAAAGCUUCUCUGUUCACUGCACACUUUCUUUCUCUCUGCUCUCCAUCACCAUUCUACUCAAAGAUUCUAACUUUCCUUCAACAAUGUAAUGAGCCCCCUCUUUCUCUCUAUCGAUCUCCUGAUCAUUUGGAAUAAUAUGGAACCAACUUCUUGAAAGUUUACACCUUUCUGCAAUACUUUGUACAAAACCCUCUCUCUCUCUCUCUCUCUCUCUCUCUCUCUCUCUCUCUGUGAUUGUGUAGUUGUUUCAAGAUGAAGAAGAAAACACAUUUUGGGUUCAAGCUUUUAACUAUUUUCCUUGCUGGGUUUUCUUCAUUUUUGCUGUGUGCCAACUCUCAACUAAGUUCGAGCAAUGAUGCUUCAGUAAUGCUGGAUCUCAAGAAGAGCCUCAACCCAUCUGAAUCUCUCGGAUGGUCCGACCCUGACCCCCGCAAGUGGAGCCAUGUUGGCUGGUCCGAUGACAAAAGGGUGACUCGGAUCCAACUGGGUCACCUCAAUCUUGAAGGUACGCUUCCUCUAAGCCUCCAAAACCUCACUAAACUAGAGCGUUUAGAGCUUCAGUGGAACAAAAUCUCAGGUCCUCUUCCGAGC
rnacentral:lncRNA from 1 species